rnacentral:rRNA from 1 species
GCAAGUCGAACGAGUAACCAAGGUGCUUGCACUUUGGUGAGAGUGGCGAACGGGUGAGUAACACGUAGAUAAUCUGCCCUCAGUUUGGGGAUAGCCCAUGGAAACAUGGAUUAAUACCGAAUAUCCUUUUGUGUCAUAUGGCGCGUAGAGGAAAGGUCCUAAGGGAUCGACUGAGGAUGAGUCUGCGGCCCAUUAGCUAGUUGGUGGGGUAAAGGCCUACCAAGGCAACGAUGGGUAGCCGGCCUGAGAGGGUGACC